AAUAAUGAGAUUGAUGUAGAGUGAGCUCUGCUUACCAUAUAUGAAUAUUACAAAAAGCUCAAAAUUAAAGAUAUUCAAAUAUUGGAAGAGAAGACACAAGUAGAGGAGAAGAAACAGAUUAUUACUGAAGAUUAUGAAAAACUGAAACUGAAAGUAGCUGAUAUGGAAGAACAAUAUCUCAACGAUAAACAGAUCAUUAUUGAUGACAAUCAAAAUCUCAUUUCAGAGAAAGACAAA